GCGCGCCUAGUGUAAUGGAUAUCACGUGAGAUUCCGGUUCUUGAGAUGAGGGUUCGAUUCCCCCGGUGCGCA
rfam:Weissella kandleri strain DSM 20593 Scaffold2, whole genome shotgun sequence.